AUGACUGACUUUUUUUCAUGUAAUUUUAGAAAAAAAAAACAAAGGCUAAAUUUUGUUGUUUUCAUCUUCAGACUAAUGAAAUUGAAGUAUCCAAAUGAAGACCCUAGCAGUAUGGAGUAUAUGGAUACAGACGUUGCCAGCAGUCAGGAGGUGAUCCAGAAGACUCCUGGGAAUCUAUUUGAAGCUGCAUCAUUGAAGACAGUCCAGCAGAAGUUGGAGUUUUAAAGGAUACAGUUCUUCAGGACCUAUAGCAGUUUACAGUCUGUAAAACCAUGUUGCUGGGACUGAUUUAUGGACUGAACUUGAGCAACCCUCCUGAAUUCAGGUACACAUUUGGAAUACUGAAGAAGUUAUUUCUGGAGCCAGUUUCUGUUCCUGGAAUAAGGUUUGAUUGGUUACCCAUGAAUGCCAAUUAGAAUUGUAUUUGCUAUUUUGUGUAAUUUUGUAAUGUGGUUUAAACUGUAUUUUACUGUGUGUAAUUAUUUAUUGCUUGUUUAACAAAUACACUUUGAUCAUUUGUGACAUCUUGUCUUUUGUCUCAUUACAAGACAAAACAUACAAAAAAUGCUUUGUUGAAGGGAGUAACUUCAAAAAGAAAAUAUUGUGUUAAAGUAACUAGAACUAAUUGUGUGGAACCACUGUCCAUAAUUGAAAUGAGUAAUUUGAAACAAACCUCCUUAUGUUGAUAGAGUGAAACAAAUUUGGCUAGAUUGUAAUAAACCAAAACAUGUUGAGUUAACUUAACCAGUUUAAGUUGAAGCAAAGUCAAUAAAUUGAGUUGGUUGAACAUUACUAUUUCACAUAGAUUCUACCUCAUUCAGUUGUGUUGUCACAACACAAGGAGUUUGCAUAGAUUCAAAAAAUUCCAUUAAUGUUAUCAAAACACAAUUUGGUUGUGUGGAACCACUGUCCAUAAUUGACUUAAGUAAGUUUAAAGAGUCAUUUUUUUGAGUGUACUUUUUUCAGGAUUCUUUGAUGAAUAAAAAGUUAAAAUUAAAUAAAUAAACUUGAGUAAAAGUACAGAUACGUAUAAUAAAAUAUUACUCCAGUAAAAGUAAAAGUACUCCUUUUUCAAUUUUACUCAAGUGAAAGUACAAAAGUACUCAAUUUUUUAUGUACUUAAGUAAAA
rnacentral:lncRNA from 1 species